rnacentral:misc_RNA from 1 species
GAUGAAGAAAGUAGCGAAAUGCGAUACGUGGUGUGAAUUGCAGAAUUCAGUGAAUCAUCGAAUCUUUGAACGCACAUUGCACCUCUCGGUAUUCCGGGAGGUAUGCCUGUUCGAGCGUCAUUUGUACCCUCAAGCUCUGCUUGGUGUUGGGUGUUUGUUCCGCCUCUGUGUGUGAACUCGCCUCAAAACAAUUGGCAGCCGGCGUACUUGUUUCGGAGCGCAGCACAUUUUGCGAUCCAGAUCAACGUACAGCGGCAUCCAAGAAGCCUUAUUUAACGCUCUUGACCUCGGAUCAGGUAGGGAUACCCGCUGAACUUAAGCAUAUCAAUAAGCGGAGGA